CAGCACCCAUCGCCUUUCCUAUGUGGAAAGCAGGGGAGUCCACUGUGUCUGAGCCCAUGAUUGGCGCCUAAGCUAAGCUCAGCUCCCCCGGGGGAUAAAAUACUUGUAACUAACCGUGCCCUAGAUGGCCCCUCAUCAUUGGUGCCUGGUGGUUGGCUUUGGCUCCGGCCGGUCAUGCCCGAAUCUGACGGUCGAUGAUGCUGCGAGCCUCGGCUCUCG
rnacentral:lncRNA from 1 species